rnacentral:lncRNA from 1 species
UGAUUUAAAAAGGCUAUACAAUAAAAGUACACAUUAGAAAUUAAAAAAAAAAAAAAGAAGAAAAAAGGUACAUAUAUCUGCAUAAAUUUGAUGUUUUUUUCUUCACUAGGACCAAAUAAACACUUGGCUUUUAUGGUUUCCAAAAAAUUUAGCUUAUGAUUCGUCAAUAAUUAAUCACAUAGAGCUCUAGAAAACAGCAGAC